AGCGCCCUUUAUGCCCGUAAUAAUAUCCCCUUAUGGAAAACCAUAACUAAAGAUUUAGAAAAAUGGGCAGAUAAGCCCAUAUCGUGGAUAGGCCGGAUCCACUCCAUAAAAAUGAACGUCCUCCCUCGGAUACUAUUCAUGUUUCAGGCAUUGCCCAUACACUUAUCCAAAGCCCAACUGGCACCAAUCCAACAGAUAAUAGGCCAAUUUAUCUGGCAAAACAAAAG